rnacentral:rRNA from 1 species
GUUGAACGCUGGCGGCAUGCCUUAUACAUGCAAGUCGAACGGCAGCACGGGUGCAAGCCUGGUGGAGAGUGGCGAAAGGGUGAGUAAUAUAUCGGAACGUGCGCAGUCGUGGGGGAGAACGCAGCGAAAGCUGCGCAUAUACCGCAUACGAGCAUUGUAUGAAAGCGGGAGGUCGCUAGAACCACCGGGAUAGGAGGGGCUGAUAGCAGAUUAGCUAGUUGGGGGGGUAAAAGCCCACCAAGGCGACGAUCUGUAGCUGGUCUGAGAGGACGACCAGCCACACUGGAACUGAGACACGGUCCAGACUCCUACGGGAGGCAGCAGUGGGGAAUUUUGGACAAUGGGCGCAAGCCUGAUCCAGCAAUGCCGCGUGCAGGAUGAAGGCCUUCGGGUUGUAAACUGCUUUUGUACGGAACGAAACGGCGAGCUCUAAUAAAGUUUGCUAAUGACGGUACCGUAAGAAUAAGCACCGGCUAACUACGUGCCAGCAGCCGCAGUAA